GAUCCACCCGCCUCGGCCUCCCAAAGUGCUGGGAUUACAGGCAUGAACCACCACACCCCGCCCUAAUCUUCUCUUUUCAGACUACCUUAGCUCAAUUUUUCUACUGAUCAGUACAUGUCAACUUCUAAGUCACAUAUGUGUGUGUAGAAGCAUGAAAUUUACACAGGUUUCCAAGCUAGGCCCUUUCCUAUGCCUUCUCCUUACAGAUGCUGCCUAGUAACAUUAGCUAUUUUGCAUAUGCACACCAUAAACGAUCUGAGGGCAAGGGCUACAAUGAGUCUGCUGAUGUGAUCUUUUAGGAAACACUUAGGAUAAUAAAUCUUGAACGGUAGAGGUUAAAGAAAACUAGGUCAUAAAAUCAGAAUUUUCAAAGAGAAACAUUUGUUUGCAUAAUCCAGAAACACCUAAAUCUUUCACAUAACAGGUUCUUGAAGCUGCAUAUGUAAUACCUGAAAACUCAGCCUGUUACGAUAUUAAGAAUAAAUAAUGACUUUUAUAUACAACUUA